rnacentral:lncRNA from 1 species
UCCUGGUGGCUUUUUGUCCCCUGUAACCCCAGCAGAAGUAACAGUGCGCCCCUCCCCCACAGCCCAGGACACAGCAGGGACGUGGUGCAGGAAAAGUGGCGGCCGACAACAGUCACAGGUGAACGGGCAGCUCAAGGACGUCUCCAAAGUGCCACUGCUGUCACCGCCCACAGCGCCACCUCCCAGGGCUUGUGCCACCUCCAUUACCCCGUAACUAGACAACACUUGUGACCCAAAAUCCCCACAUCUAUUUAACAAAACCAGUAAACGAGGGGAAGGAGAGUAGGUGACAGCAGGGGACAACGCUAGGACACAAGGACGCCAGCGGCGCCUCCCUUGCCCCCCUCGGUGCCAUCCUUGGGGGGCUGCCGGGGGUCGUCCUCGCCCACCAGGCGGAUGUUGUGCUUCUCACGGAACUCAUUCAGUUCGCGGCCCUUGCUCUGCAGCUGCUGGCUCAGCGUCUCGAUGAUUUUGCUGAUCUGCUCGCGGUUGCCCUCCAGUGCGGGCAGCACCUCCUUGACAGUGCGCUCUACCAGGAUGCCGCCCACCAUGCGGUAACACUUCCGUGUGGGGUCCACCUCCCGCAGCGUCUCAAUCACCAGGCCGUGCUCGUUGAGCUCCAACUCCAGCUCCGCCGCCUUGGAGGCCAGGCCGCGCUGCUCCUGCCGCAAACGGUUGAACCGAGCCACCACCUGCUCCGCCGUCAGCACCUUCCCGCCAGGCCCCGCCGCCGCGGGCCGCCCCUUCACGCUGUCCGCCAUCUUCCCCCCUCCGCUUUGCGCCUCUUCCGGCG